UCUGGGAAAGUGGCGCACGGGUGCGUAACGCGUAUGCAACCUACCUUAAUCAGGGGGAUAGCCCGAAGAAAUUCGGAUUAACACCGCAUAAAAACACAGGAUAGCAUUAUCCAAUGUUCAAAUAUUUAUAGGAUUAAGAUGGGCAUGCGUGUCAUUAGCUAGUUGGCGGGGUAACGGCCCACCAAGGCGACGAUGACUAGGGGAUCUGAGAGGAUGACCCCCCACACUGGUACUGAGACACGGACCAGACUCCUACGGGAGGCAGCAGUAAGGAAUAUUAGUCAAUGGAGGCAACUCUGAACCAGCCAUGCCGCGUGCAGGAAGACGGCCCUCUGGGUUGUAAACUGCUUUUAUUCGGGAAUAAACCUCAUUACGUGUAAUGAGCUGAAUGUACCGAAGGAAUAAGGAUCGGCUAACUCCGUGCCAGCAGCCGCGGUAAUACGGAGGAUCCAAGCGUUAUCCGGAUUUAUUGGGUUUAAAGGGUGCGUAGGCGGCUUAUUAAGUCAGGGGUGAAAGACGGUGGCUCAACCAUCGCAGUGCCCUUGAUACUGAUGAGCUUGAAUGAACUAGAGGUAGGCGGAAUGUGACAAGUAGCGGUGAAAUGCAUAGAUAUGUCACAGAACACCGAUUGCGAAGGCAGCUUACUAUGGUUUUAUUGACGCUGAGGCACGAAAGC
rnacentral:rRNA from 1 species